rnacentral:lncRNA from 1 species
GCCGCGCCGGGCACCGCGCGGGUAGGAGCUGGAGGGCCGGCCGCGGCGUGAAGGCCUCCCCGGCCGGGUCGCGACUCGCGGCGGCUCCUGCCAGCCCUCCUGCUGGGCACGUCCUGGAGGGGCCGCGGCCCGGGCUGCAGACCCCUGCCCCACCUGCGCGGCCGCGGCGUGGACGCCGGGUCAGCGAAGGGUUAAGGAGCUCGCCCCCUCCUCUCUGCUCCCUCACCCUUGGAAAGUCCCCUAAGUGACGUUUCCACCCGACAAUUAAAAGAAGAGUUUAAUUAUAGAGACGGGCUCUGGGAGCUGGAACCAACCCGGGCGGUCGGCCGGGCCGGUAAACAACUCGCAGCGAGCUGGACGGGCCGGCCGCCGCCCGCGGAGCCCGCGCCCGAGAGCGGGGGAGGGGAGCCCGCCGCGAGUUGGACAAGCCGAGAAAAUUCGAGGAAUCGUUUUUCUGUUUGAUAAAAACGACAUUUUAGCCAGCCCGGGGCGCCGGGGCCCCGCGAUGGUGUUCCUCGCCCAACCCACGGCCGCGGGAGGACAGCGGCGCCGCCCGGAGCACGCGGACAGUCCGCGCCCCAUGGGGACCGGCCCUGGGCCGGGAAGACGGCCCUGCCAGCCCCCGGUCCCCUUCCCCCUCGCUUCUCCACUCCCCUCCCGGAUCCCCCCAGCUGAGCUUCGCGAACACUCCUGAGUUAGAUCCCGGCCUUUGGGGGUGGGGGGAUAAAAAAAAAAAAAAAACCAACGAAAUAACUUCACAUCAGGACUCAGACGAACCUUGUGGUUUUAACGCGCACCCUGCUCUGUCCCGAAAUCUGGAACUCAUUACCUCAUCACCAAGCAACUGCACUAAAUGUCCCCCCCCCGCCCCACGCGCACACUUGUUGGAGCCGAGGAGAGGAACGAGCAAACAUCCCCUUAAGAAAGAAACUUAUACACGCGAGUGAUUUAAAUUAAGGUGGAUGGAAGUUAUUUCCCUUUCUGGCGCUUGCCAGAUUUCAAGAAAAGAUGAAAAAUGGGAGCUGGGGGGGGGUAGUGUGGAGAAGCAACAGGCGGCUGGACAGCAACGGCAGAAAAAGGGGCAGCAGCGUGAUUAAAAAUGGGGGCCAUCGAUUCAAGUCAGAGGAGGCAUAAAUAAAAGCAGGACCCGUUGUGAAUCACGAAAGUUCGUGGCUGCAACAGAAGUUGGGUGUUUCGCAAAGUUGGAAAAACAAUUGGUUCCUAAAACAGUUGUGAUUUGGAAGGUUUCCCUGGGUUUGCCCAGUGGUUGACGAAUAAAUAAGAAAUGCAGUAGCGGUUGUGUGCGUGUGUGCAUGUGUGUGUUUGCGUGUGUGGAUGUGUGUGUGAGUGUGUGCAUGUGCGUGUGUGCAUGUGUGUGUGUGCUUGUGUGCGCGCGCGCGCGCGUGUGUGUGUCUGUGUGUGUUGGGGGGUGCGACUCGAGCGCUGUGCACCGCCCGUCCCAUCCUUUCCAAAGAAACGUGCCCAUAAUGGGGUGACCUAAUUACAUUGCAAUGGAACUCGCUCGCAGCCACUAGGCUCGCGGGGUUUCGUAACCGACCCGGCGGCCUCCAGUGCUGGGAAGAAACGUGCGAGGGCCGAGGAGGCGGCCCUACCCGCGAUUUCCGCUUAGGUCUUCACUCCAGGGCCAAGGCGCGGGGAGCGGGUGGGGGACACGUUAACAACUUUGUAUUUGGGAGAACGAGAGGUGGGGGAUUCGAACUUAAUAAGAAAUAAACAUAUAUCGUUUUAAAAAGAGU